UCUAACGCUCUCCCAUUCUUGUGAUGAAAAAAAAAGCUCAGGACUGAAUAUUUCCUACGGAAAUAUGAGGUUUUUGUUCCAGCAGUGAGUGGAGAUGCAGCACUGUGAUUACUUCGACUACUGGGGCAGCGGGACUAAAGUCACAGUAACAGAUACUACACCUGCUCCAACAGUACCACCAACUCUGUUCCCUUUGGUUCAGUGCAGUACUGGGACUGCAGAUAGAAUCACUGUUGGCUGUCUUGCAAAAGACUUCUACCCAAAGAGUCUUACUUUACAGUGGACCGAUGCCAGUGGGACCACCCUGCCUGCAGCUGUACAAUAUCCUCCAACUGAGAAAAACAACAAAUAUACAGGAGUCAGUUUGCUCACUGUAUCAAAAUCUGAAUGGGAUUCAAGGAGACCUUAUACUUGUUCUGUGACUCACCCUGAAGCACCCCCCCCUGUGACACUGUUAAAAAAGCCCUCAUUACCUUCAAAUGUCACAAUGGAACUGAACCAACCAAGUCCCAAAGAAAUAUUUAGCAACAACCAGGCAAAGUUGAAGUGUAUCAUUACUGGACAGGACCAGAAUGUUGUAAAACAAUAUAAAAUCACUUGGCAAAUCAAUGGAUCCCCUGUGACCAACAACAUCACACCAACACAGUCGGGAGUCAGCACAAUGACUCUUACCCGCGCUGAGUGGUACAAAGUCAACAACGUGCGCUGUUCUGCCACGAAAGAUGACAUGACGACAGUUACUCAAGAACUGACUUUCCACAAAGGAGAUGGGAGCGAGCCAAAAGUAACAGUCCACAUCCUCCCAGAUGAGGACAUCACCGAUGAGGUCACUCUGGUGUGUCUGGUCUCCAGUCGGGUGCAGCAGGAUUACUACAUCACCUGGUCAGAACAAAAAACAAACCCCCCCAUCUAUACUGAUGGCAUUAACUUCCCGCCAGUGAAGACCAAACAAGGCUACUCAGUUGCAAGUAUUUACACCACCACCAAAGACAAGUGGAACAAGGUGACCAUGUUCUCCUGCCACGUAUGGCCUGGUAGUGUCGAAAACCAUACUAUAUCCAGAGCUGUGUCUAGUGGCCUAGGUAAAUCCCAUGAAUGUGAUAAUUAGUAGAUUCAGCUUUAAAUGUGGCAGUUAGUGCUAAUGUGUUGUUCUGUCUCUGUGUGUACUCUCUGCCAUGAGAACCUGUCUUUGUGAUUGUAAAACGGUCAAUUUACUAUUGUUUGUCAUAUUGUGUUUCAAUCUGUCUACGUCACAUUGUCUGACAGCUUGAGAAGUGUGCUGACUGUUUCAAAUAAAUGUUGCAUGGA